rnacentral:rRNA from 1 species
AUUGAACGCUGGCGGCAGGCCUAACACAUGCAAGUCGAGCGAGCGGCGGACGGGUGAGUAAUGUCUGGGAAACUGCCUGAUGGAGGGGGAUAACUACUGGAAACGGUAGCUAAUACCGCAUACCAUCAGAUGUGCCCAGAUGGGAUUAGCUAGUAGGUGGGGUAACGGCUCACCUAGGCGACGAACCCUAGCUGGUCUGCGAGGAUGACCAGCCAAACUGGAACUGAGACACGGUCCAGACCCCUACGGGAGGCAGCAGUGGGGAAUAUUGCACAAGGGGCGCAAGCUUGAUGCAGCCAGGCCGCGUGUGGGAAGAAGGCCUUCGGUUGUUAAGGCACGUUCAGCGGGGAGGCGUUACCCGAAGAAGAAGCACCGGCUAACUCCGUGCCAGCAGCCGCGGUAAUUC